CUUGCUCUGUGGGAUCAGUGGCGAACGGGUGAGUAACACGUGAGCAACCUGCCCCUGACUCUGGGAUAAGCGCUGGAAACGGCGUCUAAUACUGGAUAUGUGACGUGACCGCAUGGUCUGCGUCUGGAAAGAAUUUCGGUUGGGGAUGGGCUCGCGGCCUAUCAGCUUGUUGGUGAGGUAAUGGCUCACCAAGGCGUCGACGGGUAGCCGGCCUGAGAGGGUGACCGGCCACACUGGGACUGAGACACGGCCCAGACUCCUACGGGAGGCAGCAGUGGGGAAUAUUGCACAAUGGGCGCAAGCCUGAUGCAGCAACGCCGCGUGAGGGACGACGGCCUUCGGGUUGUAAACCUCUUUUAGCAGGGAAGAAGCGAAAGUGACGGUACCUGCAGAAAAAGCGCCGGCUAACUACGUGCCAGCAGCCGCGGUAAUACGUAGGGCGCAAGCGUUAUCCGGAAUUAUUGGGCGUAAAGAGCUCGUAGGCGGUUUGUCGCGUCUGCUGUGAAAUCCGGAGGCUCAACCUCCGGCCUGCAGUGGGUACGGGCAGACUAGAGUGCGGUAGGGGAGAUUGGAAUUCCUGGUGUAGCGGUGGAAUGCGCAGAUAUCAGGAGGAACACCGAUGGCGAAGGCAGAUCUCUGGGCCGUAACUGACGCUGAGGAGCGAAAGGGUGGGGAGCAAACAGGCUUAGAUACCCUGGUAGUCCACCCCGUAAACGUUGGGAACUAGUUGUGGGGUCCAUUCCACGGAUUCCGUGACGCAGCUAACGCAUUAAGUUCCCCGCCUGGGGAGUACGGCCGCAAGGCUAAAACUCAAAGGAAUUGACGGGGACCCGCACAAGCGGCGGAGCAUGCGGAUUAAUUCGAUGCAACGCGAAGAACCUUACCAAGGCUUGACAUAUACGAGAACGGGCCAGAAAUGGUCAACUCUUUGGACACUCGUAAACAGGUGGUGCAUGGUUGUCGUCAGCUCGUGUCGUGAGAUGUUGGGUUAAGUCCCGCAACGAGCGCAACCCUCGUUCUAUGUUGCCAGCACGUAAUGGUGGGAACUCAUGGGAUACUGCCGGGGUCAACUCGGAGGAAGGUGGGGAUGACGUCAAAUCAUCAUGCCCCUUAUGUCUUGGGCUUCACGCAUGCUACAAUGGCCGGUACAAAGGGCUGCAAUACCGCGAGGUGGAGCGAAUCCCAAAAAGCCGGUCCCAGUUCGGAUUGAGGUCUGCAACUCGACCUCAUGAAGUCGGAGUCGCUAGUAAUCGCAGAUCAGCAACGCUGCGGUGAAUACGUUCCCGGGUCUUGUACACACCGCCCGUCAAGUCAUGA
rnacentral:rRNA from 1 species